CGACCUCAGAUCGAGCGAGAUUACCCGCUGAAUUUAAGCAUAUUACUAAGCGGAGGAAAAGAAACUAACCUGGAUUCCCUCAGUAGCGGCGAGUGAAGCGGGAAGAGCCCAUCGCCGAAUCUCCGCGUCCUAGCGGCGUGCGAGAAAUGUGGCGUGAGGAAGCCGUGGCUAACCGGAGACGUGGAGCCGACGUCCUUGUGAAGGAGGCUUAUCCCAUAGAGUGUGUUAGGCCCCCGCAGGCGCCCGUAACCGGUGGCCUCAGGCUUCUAAGAGUCGGGUUGUUUGAGAAUGCAGCCCUAAGACAGGUGGUAAACUCCAUCUAAGGCUAAAUACUAGGCACGAGACCGAUAGUUCACAAGUACCAUGAGGGAAAGUUGAAAAGAACUUUGAAGAGAGAGUUCAAUAGGACGUGAAGCUGCCGAGAAGUAAACGGAAGGGCCCCGCAUACCUUCGGCCGGGAGAUUCAGCGUAAGGGGAGGCUUCGGUGCCCCGUUCUGCCUUGAGACCCUCUUCGGGGGGACCCGGCGGGAUGGGUCGAUGCAGCCGCCUUUAACGCGCAUUUCUCCCGUGCCUCUAGGGUUGGCGACCGACCGUAGUUGGCCGAUUGGACGCGGUAAAGGCAGGUAGCUCACGCCGGUUUCGGCCGGCGAGAGAACGUAUAGUCUUGCCGUAUGCAUCGGCUGCUAGGUCGAGGAAUGAUGACCACGUGCCGUGCCUGCCCAAUAGGGCUGGAGCCGCCGGACUCCCGCUCGUGCGGCGUACGGGGACUGUCCUCAGUGCCCGCUCGCCCGUGCGGUCGAGAAAGGCCGGAUUAGCCUCACAGGCGCACAGGGUCCGCCAACUUGGCCGGGCGCCUUUUCGACCCGUCUUGAAACACGGACCAAGAAGUCUAACGGACACGCAAGUCGAAGGGUCGUAUACGAAACCCCGAGGCGCAAUGAAAGUGAAGGUCGGUGUAGGCCGCCUUCGGUGGGAUCCCAGGUCUACCCACGGCCAGGGCGCACCACCGCCCCGUCUCACCCCGCAUUGUUCGGAGAGGCGGAGGAAGAGCGUGUACGCUAGGACCCGAAAGAUGGUGAACUAUGCCCGAGCAGGAUGAAGCCAGAGGAAACUCUGGUGGAGGUCCGCAGCGAUUCUGACGUGCAAAUCGAUCGCCCGA
rnacentral:rRNA from 1 species